CAUUCCGGGUAGUCGGCCACGCUCCACUGCUGUCGCUGGCAUGGAAGCGGUGACGUAGAUUCUCGACGCGAUGGCGCAUAUGGAGCUCCACUUGAUCGGUGCGCUGGCGGGCGGUGGUGGCGAGCAAGGCCCUGCAUCCUCCUCUGCCACCAUCACUUCCUCUGCCACCGCGCCACGGUACGAGUACGACGAUGAGGUCUUCGGCUCUUCGGCGGCCCCAGCAUACGACGACGACCUGCUUGGUGCCGGCCCCUUCCUCAACCCCGUGACCCCCCCAGACGCAUGCUAAGGUGGACAAGCCAUCCCGCGACGAGAUCGACAAGGUGUACCAGCUUGGGGACAAGCCGGUUUUCAAGGCCGGGGGAAUGUCAGCAACAUGCUAGGGAAGAGACGGUGAUGUCCAGCAAGGAGCAGCAGCAGACCAGGAAAGGUGAAAGCACGCACCAAGGCUGAGGCGUGGGCUGUGUAAACGAGUGGCCGUGUGUUGGCUUCACCGUGAAGGGUAUUUGAGUCUUGAGUCUGUACGAACUGGGUAUCGAAAAAUCAGAAUACAAACCAAUUAUCG